rnacentral:Y_RNA from 1 species
CGGGCGAAUGCCGCAGGGAACUACAGUGUCGCCGGUUCGAGUCCGGCCAAGCCUGCGUUGGCUUGUAGCUCAGUGGGUAGAGCAUGUGCCGUUUCCCGCACUCCCUCGUCGCCACCCC